GACAGAGGGUGCAAACGUUGUUCAGAAUUACUGGGCGUAAAGCGCGUGUAGGCGGCCCUGCAAGUCGGAUGUGAAAUCCCACGGCUCAACCGUGGAAGUGCAUUCGAAACUGCAGGGCUAGAGUCCUGGAGAGGAAGGUGGAAUGCUUGGUGUAGAGGUGAAAUUCGUAGAUAUCAAGCGGAACACCGGUGGCGAAGGCGGCCUUCUGGACAGUGACUGACGCUGAGACGCGAAAGCGUGGGGAGCAAACAGG
rnacentral:rRNA from 1 species